rnacentral:rRNA from 1 species
UACAUAGGUCUCAAGCGUUGUUCGGAUUCAUUGGGCGUAAAGGGUGCGUAGGCGGCGCGGUAAGUCGGGUGUGAAAUCUCGGAGCUUAACUCCGAAACUGCAUUCGAUACUGCCGUGCUUGAGGACUGGAGAGGAGACUGGAAUUUACGGUGUAGCGGUGAAAUGCGUAGAUAUCGUAAGGAGGACCAGUGGCGAAGGCGGGUCUCUGGACAGUUCCUGACGCUGAGGCACGAAGGCCAGGGGAGCAAACGGG